rnacentral:rRNA from 1 species
UACGUAGGGUGCGAGCGUUGUCCGGAUUUAUUGGGCGUAAAGAGCUUGUAGGCGGCUCGUCGCGUCGGGUGUGAAAACUUGCGGCUUAACCGCAAGCCUGCACCCGAUACGGGCGGGCUAGAGUUCGGCAGGGGAGACUGGAAUUCCUGGUGUAGCGGUGGAAUGCGCAGAUAUCAGGAGGAACACCGGUGGCGAAGGCGGGUCUCUGGGCCGAUACUGACGCUGAGAAGCGAAAGCGUGGGGAGCAAACAGG